UGGCGGCACUAGCGCGGUGGUCCCACCUGACCCCAUGCCGAACUCAGAAGUGAAACGCCGUAGCGCCGAUGGUAGUGUGGGGUCUCCCCAUGUGAGAGUAGGGAACUGCCAG
rnacentral:rRNA from 9 species